UAUAAAACAAUGGACUGGAUGACCGAUGAAGUGUUGUCAAGCCCAUGGAAGCAGACAGUCCCUCAGAAUGAUGUCUUGAUAGACUUUUUUUAGUCGAUUUUGACAUUUCUAUCAAUGAAAACCAGUGGGGUCUUGCCUUCAGAAGUGACUCCGGACCAUGAUAGAUUUCGGAAACUUGAGUCUCGUGUGCACCCAACGUUUCCUGGAAGCCUUGUAUGAAAAAAGUGAAAGUUGUAUAAGCUUAUGAUUUUGCUUUGUUUUAAAAAUGAAUCGAUGUUGAUUCCAUAUGCUUGAAUUGAAUAUUACACCUUAGUUCUAUAUAUUUUAUUGCUUAAAAAGGAACACAACAAAACAAAAAAGAAACUACAAUUGCAAAUGAUUUGAUAACUAAGAAAAAAAUAUUAGUAUUAAAAAUUGGUAGUUCUAUUUUAGGCAAAUUAGCAUAAUUCUUAUUAACUGCAUUGUUACUUAGAGGUAAAUUUGCAUCAUUGUGAAAAUGUUGAGUAAACCGAAGAAUUUUCACCUCUAGUUUACAAUAUUUAUCGGUUACUUCCUCUAUUUGUAAUAAAAGCUUGUCUGUAUCCUUUAUCCCCAUAAAAUAUUCAUAUGCUUGUUCCAACUGCUGUUUAAUCUUCUCGGUCUUUUUUAAUAUUGCAUCGAGUUCAAGACAAUCGGCUGCGUUGUUUUCUAUUUCCUUUUCUAAAUUAAGACCUAGUCUUUUGAUUCUUCUUAUUUCUGUUUCUGGAUCCAUGAGGUUGACUUACCUUAUCAUGUUUCUAUCCGGCUCGAGGGACCAAUGUAUGAAAAAGUGAAAGUUAUAUAAGCUUAUGAUUUUGCUUUGUUUUAAAAAUGAAUCGAUGUUGGUUCCAUAUGAUGGAAUUGAAUAUUACACCAUAGUUCUAUAAGCCUUGUUUCCUGGAGGCAGAUGGUGGUUUUGGGAGUUGUGGGCGACUUCAACUGUGAGAAUCUUCUCAUCCUUCCACACAAUGUCAGGACGCCGGCCCACUCAAAUCAUUGAGAUCAAUUUCUUUGCCUUGUCCAAGCUAUUCUUCAUUUUAGCUUCGGAAAAGGUUUGCCCACGGUAAAGACAAUAGCUGCGAAGUCCCAGAUCACGUUUCAACAAUAUUCUGCACUCUUUCCCUAGAGAUUCUGAGGACAGGAGUGAUGCGAUUCAUGCUGAUGCCGUCAUUUCAGGCAAUCCUUUUCUUUAUGAUCUUCCGUGUUGCAGAAGUGUUGACCAUUCAUGGACAGCCCGAUUUUGGAAGCACUCCAUAAUGUCCUCGCUCCCGGUAUUACUUUACAAUCCUUCUAACAAUUCUGGCGUUGAUCUUGAGCCGGCAAGUGAUGUCUGAAGGGCAAACACCUUCGUCGGUCAGGUGCGCAAUCUUAGCGCGAUGAGGUGAAGUAUGGAUAAUUAAAAAUAAAAGACGUUGGAAUCUCUUUACCUUCUAGGGACACAGUUUAUUAACAUUAGCCUUUCGAAACACCAUGAAUUCACGCCGCCACGCACUUUAAAUACUGUUCUUAAGUUCAUAAAUAAAGAGGACCAUACUUUUUCAGCCACCCUGUACAUUAUCUGAAGGUGGUCUACAAAUGUUAGGGAAUUUGGUUAGAAUAGCACUGAAUUUGGAUGAUGAAUUCAGGGUGCUAAUAUUUCCCAUAUCUGAGAGAUUGACUGAAUAAUGACUCUUAUAGAAAGAUUAGUUAUUCCAUCAAUUAAGCGUUUAUUUUUUAUAUCAAUUAUCAAUCCAAAGUUGUUCAAAAAGUCUGCUCCUAUUAUAGCUCUAUUGGUAUUGGCGAUUACAAAAGGCCAUUGGAAUUGACGUCGGUCUGAUAUCCAAAUUUCAAAUUUUUGUUCCAUAGGUAACAAUUUCUGUACCAUUGGCUGCAUAAAGUUUAUAAUCAGAACUAGGCAUCCUAUUUUUAUCCUUUGGUGGUAUUAUAGAGAUAUCAGCACCACUGUCCACCAAAAAGCGCAAUCCCAUGUUUUUGUCUGUCACAAAUAAUCGGAGAUUGCGACAAUCCUUAAUGUUGGCGGAAGAGUUUGUCGCUACUCUUUCCACUGGUUGGAGUUUUCCCGACUCUUUCCAACUGCAUGGAGGCCUGCAUUUAUUUUGCAUGCAAUUAGGGCCAAAGUGAAAAUGGUAAUAGCAAUAUUUCCCUUUUGGAUUGAAGGAUCUUUGAGAAUUGCUUCUCGGCCUUGACUGAGUCCUAGUUUUGGAUCGAGAUCUUGAUCUCUCCAGUCUCAAUUUGGACACUUGUCGUUCAAGAUCUUCCAAUUUGGCGAUCAAGCAAUCUGUUGAGGAAGGAGACACUUCCGCAUCAAAUAUUUCUUUGGAAGAGUUUAUUUCAUUUAUUUGAUCAGCCAUUAUGGCCAAUUUGAUAAUGUCCUCAUCGCUUACAAUAAGUAUAGUCUUAAUGGAUAUUGGCAAUUUAUCGAGCCAUAAAGUUUAUCAAAUUGUCAAAGACAUCAGGGGUAGCGAGGGAUCUGAGCUUUUGUAAUAAUUGGCUCAACUUCAUGUCUUUGAGUUCAAUACCAGAAAUUAACUUUAUUUCUGAAUUCUUCACUUUCUUUGAACAAUUCAAGUAGUCAUGAUUUACAUUCAGAAUACUUGUUGUCAAUUUUGCUAUUAAUUAUGUCCCAAAUGUUUUCUAUAUAUUUUGGUUCUAAUUGAGAGAUUAAAUUUUGUUUUUCUUCCUGAAUGAUUCCACUUAUUUUAAACUGCGCCUCUACCUGAAAGAACCAUUUUUCAGGUACUCCAACCCAAAAAGGCGGUAUUUUGAUACCAACUUUGCAUAUUUCUUAGGUUUCAUUGCUACGGUUCUUUUCUGUUUCCAUCUUAUGUAAAUUUGGAAAUCGAUACAACAGCUAGAUGUAAGUAGAGAUAAAGUUAGGGAUAAAAAUAAUACAAACAAUUACAGGGUGUCCUCAAAAUUUUCACGGUGAUACACAUCUUGGUUGAUUUUGUCCCCCUAAUCCAUGAAAGUGAAGGGAAUCAUGUCAUUGGCGCUAAUCCCAUACCAUAACCUACUGUUAAUUUUGACGAUGACUGACAUGCCAGGAGCCUCAGCAGACCAGCUCUUGUUGUUUUGAUGGUCGUGCGCCUGCUCGUGGUUGAUCAGUUUCUAAUUCAUGAAGAGGAUGUGGUCCCAUCACUGACCAGUGGCCGGAUGCUUGAAUUGCCGACAUCUCUCCAGCUAUAUGCGCUUGUUGUCAUCCGUGAAGAACUGAACCUUUUGGAGCUUGGGAAGCUUGAGGUUACGUUCCUUUUUCGCUAUUCGAUGUACUGAGAGGCAAUUUUUUUCUGAAGGCCCUUGAAUUACAUUGAAGUCACUUUUUGAUCUCACAGUUGACAGAAGUGUUGGCAAUGCGCUUUCUUCCUCUUCCAGCACAAUCGCCUUCAUGGCCAAAUGUGAGAGGAGCUGGUUCUAUGUUACCUUAAUUUAGGAGAUUAGGGUGUCAGCUUUGACAGUGUUGGUGAGAGGAGAUGGUUCUAUGGUACCUUAAUUUAGGAGAUUAGGGUGUCAGCUUUGACAGUGUUGGUGAGAGGAGGUGGUUCUAUGUUACCUUAAUUUAGGAGAUUAGGGUGUCAGCUUUGACAGUGUUGGUGAGAGGAGAGGUGGUUCUAUGUUACCUUAAUUUAGGAGAUUAGGGUGUCAGCUUUGACAGUGUUGGUGAGAGGAGGUGGUUCUAUGUUACCUUAAUUUAGGAGAUUAGGGUGUCAGCUUUGACAGUGUUGGUGAGAGGAUGUGGUUCUAUGUUACUUUAAUUUAGGAGAUUAGGGUGUCAGCUUUGACAGUGUUGGUGAGAGGAGGUGGUUCUAAGUUACCUUAAUUUAGGAGAUUAGGGUGUCAGCUUUGACAGUGUUGGUGAGAGGAGGUGGUUCUAUGUUACCUUAAUUUAGGAGAUUAGGGUGUCAGCUUUGACAGUGUUGGUGAGAGGAGGUGGUUCUAUGUUACCUUAAUUUAGGAGAUUAGGGUGUCAGCUUUGACAGUGUUGGUGAGAGGAGGUGGUUCUAUGUUACCUUAAUUUAGGAGAUUAGGGUGUCAGCUUUGACAGUGUUGGUGAGAGGAGGUGGUUCUAAGUUACCUUAAUUUAGGAGAUUAGGGUGUCAGCUUUGACAGUGUUGGUGAGAGGAGGUGGUUCUAAGUUACCUUAAUUUAGGAGAUUAGGGUGUCAGCUUUGACAGUGUUGGUGAGAGGAGAGCUGGUUCUAUGUUACCUUAAUUUAGGAGAUUAGGGUGUCAGCUUUGACAGUGUUGGUGAGAGGAGAGCUGGUUCUAAGUUACCUUAAUUUAGGAGAUUAGGGUGUCAGCUUUGACAGUGUUGGUGAGAGGAGAGCUGGUUGUUGUCUUAAAUUUGAAAAAAAAAAAAGACAAUACAAGGUCCCGAUGGCUUAACCUGAACUAAAAGCUCCUAGCUUUACAGUAAUGCUGGAAACUGACUUGAAAAUUAUAAAUUGAUAAAUCAAUAUCUUUGUUGCAGUGAUCAGAAGAAUUGAGUCACAACGCUGGAUGGCGAGGCCUAAAGUAGAAAACAGUGAUGAAUAAUUUAAUACUUAUUGAAAGAAAUAUUUAUUUAAAAAAUCACACAAAUUAAUAUUAAUACAAAUAUUAUUCAAAACAAUUAUUAAAAUUUAUGAGAGAUAGUUCUUUUUUCAGGCCUGUCAAAACCAAACGUUGGCGUCGAGACAGCUUUGUUUACCGGAGGUAUUCUUUUUCUGCUCGCGCAUGUGCGGGGGGCAGCGGGUGCAGUGUUGCCAGUGCCUGGUUGGUCCAAAAGUACCUAUGGUCGCGUCACUGGUUCUAUGUUACCUUAAUUUAGGAGAUUAGGGUGUCAGCUUUGACAGUGUUGGUGAGAGGAGAGCUGGUUCUAUGUUACCUUAAUUUAGGAGAUUAGGGUGUCAGCUUUGACAGUGUUGGUGAGAGGAGGUGGUUCUAUGUUACCUUAAUUUAGGAGAUUAGGGUGUCAGCUUUGACAGAGUUGGUGAGAGGAGAGCUGGUUCUAUGUUACCUUAAUUUAGGAGAUUAGGGUGUCAGCUUUGACAGUGUUGGUGAGAGGAGGUGGUUCUAUGUUACCUUAAUUUAGGAGAUCAGGGUGUCAGCUUUGACAGUGUUGGUGAGAGGAGAGCUGGUUCUAUGUUACCUUAAUUUAGGAGAUUAGGGCGUCAGCUUUGACAGUGUUGGUGAGAGGAGAGCUGGUUCUAUGUUACCUUAAUUUAGGAGAUUAGGGUGUCAGCUUUGACAGUGUUGGUGAGAGGAGGUGGUUCUAUGUUACCUUAAUUUAGGAGAUUAGGGUGUCAGCUUUGACAGUGUUGGUGAGAGGAGGUGGUUCUAUGUUACCUUAAUUUAGAGAUUAGGGUGUCAGCUUUGACAGUGUUGGUGAGAGGAGGUGGUUCUAUGUUACCUUAAUUUAGGAGAUCAGGGUGUCAGCUUUGACAGUGUUGGUGAGAGGAGAGGUGGUUCUAUGUUACCUUAAUUUAGGAGAUUAGGGUGUCAGCUUUGACAGUGUUGGUGAGAGGAGAGGUGGUUCUGUUACCUUAAUUUAGGAGAUUAGGGUGUCAGCUUUGACAGUGUUGGUGAGAGGAGGUGGUUCUAUGUUACCUUAAUUUAGGAGAUUAGGGUGUCAGCUUUGACAGUGUUGGUGAGAGGAGGUGGUUCUAUGUUACCUUAAUUUAGGAGAUUAGGGUGUCAGCUUUGACAGUGUUGGUGAGAGGAGGUGGUUCUAUGUUACCUUAAUUUAGGAGAUUAGGGUGUCAGCUUUGACAGUGUUGGUGAGAGGAGGUGGUUCUAUGUUACCUUAAUUUAGGAGAUUAGGGUGUCAGCUUUGACAGUGUUGGUGAGAGGAGAGGUGGUUCUAUGUUACCUUAAUUUAGGAGAUUAGGGUCUCAGCUUUGACAGUGUUGGUGAGAGGAGGUGGUUCUAUGUUACCUUAAUUUAGGAGAUUAGGGUGUCAGCUUUGACAGUGUUGGUGAGAGGAGAGGUGGUUCUAUGUUACCUUAAUUUAGGAGAUUAGGGUGUCAGCUUUGACAGUGUUGGUGAGAGGAGGUGGUUCUAUGUUACCUUAAUUUAGGAGAUUAGGGUGUCAGCUUUGACAGUGUUGGUGAGAGGAGAGGUGGUUCUAUGUUACCUUAAUUUAGGAGAUUAGGGCGUCAGCUUUGACAGUGUUGGUGAGAGGAGAGCUGGUUGUUGUCUUAAAUUUGAAAAAAAAAAAGACAAUACAAGGUCCCGAUGGCUUAACCUGAACUAAAAGCUCCUAGCUUUACAGUAAUGCUGGAAACUGACUUGAAAAUUAUAAAUUGAUAAAUCAAUAUCUUUGUUGCAGUGAUCAGAAGAAUUGAGUCACAACGCUGGAUGGCGAGGCCUAAAGUAGAAAACAGUGAUGAAUAAUUUAAUACUUAUUGAAAGAAAUAUUUAUUUAAAAAUCACACAAAUUAAUAUUAAUACAAAUAUUAUUUAAGAGGUCCACCCGGAGACCAAGGAGAGGAUAGAGGAAGAGACGCUGGAGAUGUCAAUGGAGGAGGAGCUGGAGCCCUGGGAGCGGGUGAUAGCUCCCCAAGUGUUACAGACCUUGAGGUCGAGAGCGUCGAGAAGGAUGUUAAUGAAAGAACCUUUAGAAUUCUGUUUUUGGGAGCUCCAACGGGAGGAAACAGCAUUGACAUCUCCAGCGAAGAGGAGGCGGGGAGGAGGUGGGGAGCCAAAGAGGGAGAUAAAGGAGUCGACGAUGGGGGAAAAAGAUGUCUUAUGGGGGAAGUAAACAGAGCAGAGAGUAAGGUGAAAGCCGGGGAUGUCAAGGAUUGCAAGGGUGCGGUUGGUGGUGGAGAGUCGUGGGAGGAAGAUGACGGGAAGGCUUUGAUUUAGAACUACAAUACAAGUGUUGCAGCGAUUAUUAGAGAUAGGAGCAUGGAGGUGGGAGGAGGAGGGGGUGGGGAAUGGGGAGGGAAGGGCAUUAUCGCGGACCGGAAGUUCUUGAAGGAGAAGGAUAUCGAUAUGGGAGGAUUGGGCGAAUUGUAACAAGGAAAGGUAGUCAGAGAGGGAUCGGUUACAGUUAAGCUGUAAAAAUUUUAACAUUUAAUGCAGGUUGUGGGUAUUAAGGAAUGUGGUUUCAGAGGCCUUGAUGACCGGGCAGGAGAGAGAGUCUGCCCGGUGUUGGCCGUUGCCGUUGCAGCGGAAACAUUUAGGGGGGAGGGUGGUGGCGGUGCAAUUGUUUGUAAUGUGGCCUUCGCCGCAAUGGAGGCAUCUGGGGGGUUUAUUGCAAAUUUCAUUGCAGUGACGGAUGUCCCCGCAAUUACGGCAGGGGUGUGUUGACCUGGUUCUGUCGAACCUGAUUGAGUUAUAUCCCAGAAAGAGACGGGUUCGAGAUUGCAGUUGGGUGGCAGUGUCGGAGUCGGUUUCGAUGACCGCGUGUGUGGAGUUGUUGCGGCCGGUAAAAGUUCUAAUUUUUUUUUAACAAGGAAUAUAAUAUUUUAUUUACAAAUUUACCAGUUACAACAGUGUAGACAAAGUGUAGACAGUGUAGUACUGAAAGAGAAACUUGUAUAUAUAUAUAAAAAAGGAGGGCAGAGUGGUAACAAGGAAUAUAAUAUUUUAUUUACAAAUUUACCAGUUACAACAGUGUAGACAAAGUGUAGACAGUGUAGUACUGAAAGAGAAACUUGUAUAUAUAUAUAAAAAAGGAGGGCAGAGUGGUAACAAGGAAUAUAAUAUUUUAUUUACAAAUUUACCAGUUACAACAGUGUAGACAAAGUGUAGACAGUGUAGUACUGAAAGAGAAACUUGUAUAUAUAUAUAAAAAAGGAGGGCAGAGUGGUAACAAGGAAUAUAAUAUUUUAUUUACAAAUUUACCAGUUACAACAGUGUAGACAAAGUGUAGACAGUGUAGUACUGAAAGAGAAACUUGUAUAUAUAUAUAAAAAAGGAGGGCAGAGUGGUAACAAGGAAUAUAAUAUUUUAUUUACAAAUUUACCAGUUACAACAGUGUAGACAAAGUGUAGACAGUGUAGUACUGAAAGAGAAACUUGUAGAGAAAGUAAGAUUGUCCCACUGCUCACAUACUAGAUGGUUUCUUUAACCUAACAGGUGAACUAACAAAAAAAAAAAAUUAAAUCAACAUUUUCAAAAUUUUUUUUUUUUUUUUUUUUGUCAGUUUUUGCAGUCAGUGCCGAUUGAUUGGGUGAUAAGGGAGGGCAGGUCGCAGAGUGGGAUAGUGUUGGGGAGGUUGAAGAGGGUAAAGCGGGGUUUAAAGGUGGGGGGGGGGGGGGGGGGGGGUUGACGCUGAUGUUUGUGCCAUUGGUGGCAUUUUUGAGCUUGGCGUAGAUAGAGUCCAUGCUAUUUUUGGAGUUAGUGUGGAUGAUGAUCUUAUUACGGGCGCGGAAGAUGUUAGUAAUUUGGGUGGAGGGAGUAUUGAGGGAGGAGAAGGAAAUUUUUAAGUUGAGGUUGUUGUCAAUGGGGGUGCAAGCAGAGGGGUCCUGGGUGAUGAGGAUGUGGAAGGGGUUGUUGCGGUUGGAAUGGGGAGGGGGGCGGCGGGAGGGUUGGGGGUUGAGUGUCGUGGGGGGGGUUGGUGGGGUGGGGGGUUAGCGGGAGGCGGUCGGGAGGCGACCCCGGCGAAAGAGUUAGGAAUGGGCAUGAGUGGAGUGGAAUGGGGUGAGGAGUUGGGUAGAGGGGUGGGGGGGGGGAGGAAGAUGGGGAGGUGGGUGAAAGCUGGGGGGGGGGAGGAACGUUUGGGGAGGGGUGAGGAGGGGGGGUGGAGGAGGCAGGGGGAGGCAUAGGUGGGCAGGGAGAGGGUGUUUGUAAUUUCUGUUCCAGGAGAUGGGUAAGGAGGUUUAUGGAGUUGUUGGCCUCGAGGAGGCGUUGUUGAUGAAUAUCCAAGAUGUGUGUAAAGGUUUUUUUUAGGGCAAAGCGGAAGUUAUCGGCAAGGGUGGGGUCAACAGAGUCAGCAAAAGGAGCAAGGAUGUGGUAGGCCCAGUUAAGAUGUUGGAGGUGUGAGGGGUUGUUGGUUGGAAACAUGUCGCAUGUGGGUGGAGGUGAUUCAAGGGUGUAGUGUUGUUGUGGUGGUUGGUGGAGAUGGGGUGGUGUGUGUACAUAUGUGGGUUGGGUAGGGUGAAGAGGGGUGGAGGAUCUCACCCCUGGUCGGCUGCAGAGGUCAAGGUUCCCGCCGAUGGUAGGGUCGAGCAGGGAGUUGAACAUGCUCGGGUGGUCGUCUUGGCGGGAGGAGUCGGUGUCAGGAAAGGAGGUGGAGAAGUCUUGGGAGGGGGGCGGAGAGCCACCUUUAGCUGAAGAGGUGUCGGAGGUGGGGGGGGCGGAGUGCCCCCUGGAGCUGAAGAGGUGUCAGAGGGCGCAGGCCGGAGCGGCGGCGGGAGGGUGCGCGGCAGCGGGCGGGCGAGCCGCCGGGUGUGUGGCGGCGGGCGGCAUGGCCGCCACUCGCAGGGGAGGGCGGUGGAGCCAGCGCGGCGGAGGUUGGAAGCACUCCAGGCAGUGGAGGGAGGUCGAGUGGCCAAGAGGUCUAGUGCACUGAUUGGACGCCCGCAGGAAAUUAAUCAGGGCGACAGACGGUGGCAGGCGGCCGCCCGGGAGGACCGAGGAAUUAAAAACGAACAAACGUUCGGCAACUGAAUUUGGCCAAUUAAUCCAGGGGGCAGGACAGGGUGGAGAUGGUCCCACGGCAGGGGAACCCGCGGGGAGAAGAAGGCAGCGGACCCCGUGAAGGGGCGGAGGCAGGAGCGCAGAAGGAGGAACCGCGCGGUCGGAGUCCGCGGCAACUAUCGCCGAUAUAAGAAUGUUUAACAAUCGAGUCUGCAGUGUUGCCGGAUCAACUUGUCAGUUCAAUCAUAACAUGCUUUCUUUAAACAAAAAUAAAAAAGGAUUGCAGUUCUCCUAGUCUCUAUAACGCAAAGGUUUUCUCACUGUUCUACCACUGCGGGUUCGCACACUAGGAGAAGUAGAUGAUUCUUCACCUUUCUUGGCAAUGUCCUCCCUUGGAUUACAUGCUCUUCUGUUUUCGGAAGUGGGUCUUUCAUGAUCUUGUAUGUUGUCAUCCAUGUAGGAAGCAGUUCCCUGGAGACCUGAAAGAAUAUUGUUUAUGCAUCGCUAGAAUACCUCCGAUGCACUGUUCAAUCCAUAGGGAAGUCGCUUGAACCGGAAUCUUCCAAAGGGAGUCGCAAUGGUGCACAGGUUGGUGCUUUCUUGUCUAAUGGGACUUGCCAGAAAGCUGAUGAUGCAUCAAAUACAGAGAAAACUGUAGCACCUUUCAGUUCAGAAAAUAUUGUUUCAGCUGUUGGCAGAAUAUAGCGCUCUCUCUGAACAUACUUGUUCAGUUCCCUGGGGUCCAUGCAAAUUCUGACAUCUCCAGAAGGUUUUUGUACCACUACAAUAGGGUGUGUCCAUUCGCUUGGUUCUUCAACUUUUUCAAUAAUGUCAAGUUUUUCCAUCCGUUCCAAUUCUGCUUUAACUUUUUCUCUAAUGGAAAAAGGAAUUUUUCUGCUUGAAUUUUUCAAAAUAAGGUUUUACAAAUAUAAAAAGGAAUUUUAGAUAUAUACAAGGCUAUUUACAAAGCUAACACCUGUGUUUCAAAGCACAGACUGGAUGCAAGCCUCUCUUGCACUUUGAACUUUGGUUCUAGACCUCCGCUUCAGGCCUUCUUUUGUACACUCCACACAUCUACUCUCUAUCUCUUUCUGGAAGUUUUUCGAGUACUUCCUGGCUUGUUGAAGGCAGAACUGGAGGUUUCAACUGAUUUUUAACUAAUUCAUUUAUUACUGAAUAGUUAAAAGCCCUUCUAGAAAGCUUGGGGUUGUCUUUGGUAUGCUGUUCAUAUAGGAUGAAAGAGUUUAGGAGAGCCCUGUGGAAGAUGUUGAGGAUCACUUUUCUAUAAAAUUUUCUUCCUUUUCUUUCAUCCAUAUAUGUAUACAAAAUUUGAUCAUUGAGAUCUACCCCUCCCAUGUAGCUAUCAUAGCAGAUUUUCAUCUGUGGGUAGUCUCUUUGGUCUGACGCCUUCUUUUUGCCAGAAGAAGCAUCACAAAAUGUUGAGAGAAACUUCACUGGAGGUUUGCUCUUCUUUUCUUUGUAAGGUUUGUUAAGGUUUUAGGAAGUCCCUUCCUAUUAGUUCUUAUAGUACCAGUCAAAUAAGUAUGACUGUCCAGUAAGUCCUUGGCUAGGUUGAUGCUGGUGAAAAAGUUAUCAGUUAUCAAAUGAUAACCUUUUCCAAGUAGACUGGAUUCCUGGAGCAGAUUCAUUGGAACAUCAUAGGAAAGGGACUUGAUAAUUGGAGAUAAUUUCCCUUUAUAUGGCUUCAUUCUCAGGCAAUAGCCAGUUUUAGAUUCACAAAGCAUCCACAGUUUGACUCCAAAUCGACCAUGGUGCUUUUGGGGCAUAUAUUGUCUAAGAUGAGUUCGGUUUUUUAGGCACACCAAGCUCUCAUCAACUGUAAGAUUUUGAGUAGGCUUAUAAUAAUUUAUAAACUUGUUGUUCACAUGCUCUAUGAGCUUCUCAAAUCUUGCAGUUGGGUUGUAAUCAGGAUGAGAACUUGGAACCAGGUUGGAGUCAUCAAUCAGAGAAAAGCAGCUGUAGAGCAACUCUCCCUCUAGACAUAACUUUACCAAACCAGGGCGUCUCUAAAAGUUCAUUCUUGCUCCAAUAGUCCCUGAUUUGGUUCUUCUUCACAUUGCCCAUAUUGAAGAUGACUCCAAUAAAGGCCAUCAUCUCAUCCAAGGUAGUGUCCUUCCAGGCCAGCUUCCUAGAAAAUGGAGGCAAUUUGUCCCUAUUGCUUGCCAAUAAAGUUUGGGCACAUUUAUUGGUAAAAGCCACAAUUUUCUUCAUCAAAUUCAUUGUAAUGAAUAACAAAAAGUAUUCAAUAGGCUGGAUAAUAGAGGGGGGAAGGUGCUGUGGGCCCCAAACUUCUCCAAAAGUCAAUGUUUUGGAUGUGGAAAAUGGAGUAUAAACUCUUACCCAAGGACUUGGCUGGUUUUCAUCCACUUCUUCAUUAGAAAAUUCAUCUUCAAAAGUGUCUUCAUCACUUUUUCAAACUCAGAAGACAAAGAAUAAACUUCAGUGUCCUCAGAAAAUGCAUAGCAUUCUGAACCGGAAGCCAUUUUAAAAAAAUUAAAAAUAAAAAAAGAAAAUCGCAAGACAAAGGAGAUAAAAACACAGCUAACGUGUAGAGACAAGCCUAGAAGUGAGAAGGGAGGUGAUAAAAAUAGCCAGCCACCACCCCCUCCCCCACGAGGGGCCCUACAAGGAAGUAGCGAUAGAAAGGUACCCCGGCACUCCUGGUGACGUUAUAGGGUAACGAUGGAUCGUUACCUUGGCGCUUAAAGGGUUAAGGACUUUUUCUAAAACAUCUCCCCACCAUACAUGAUGCUCUGCAUCUUUCUCAGAACUGGCUGGGCAUAGUAUAGGCCGUGAAGGAUCCGUUUUGGAAGGAGGAACAAUGAGCAAGACAGACAGUUCUGGUGGGACUAGGAGGGCAGGGAUGGAGAGGAUGUGUCCACAUGGUUGGAGUCAGUGGUGCCGUUAGCUAACCUCUGAAGAUGCAGGAGGGUACUAGGGGCCCACACUUUGAGGAAAGGGUUCAGCUUGGAGAAGAAAUAGGCGUACAGAUCAGGGAUGACCCCUGGGCUAGAGGCAUGGAGGAAUCAGCAUCAUCCCCUUUGAGCAAAGGGAAGCCCAGAUUUUGGGGGGGAGGUCAGGCUGGUCUGUGUGUACUGUGGAGAGGAUGGCAACGGGGUCAUUCUAGAGAUUGGAGUCCAGGAUGACAGCUUGGGCAGGAAAUGACGGGAGAUAGGUGGCUGAGCAAGGAAGUCUGGAAGGGGUGGGAAUGGUUUUGGGGGGCCCAGGAGGAGAGCGUGAGGGCCCAUGGUAAUCUGGUGGGGAACCCCCUUAGUGGUAGGUGUUGGAGCUGGGGUCUGGGAGAAAGAUUCCUCGAAGAUUGUGGUUGGACUGAAGUUUGCCUGGACAGACUUAGUCUUGAUU